UACGUAGGGUGCAAGCCGUUGUCCGGAAUUAUUGGGCGUAAAGAGCUCGUAGGCGGUUUGUUGCGUCGGCUGUGAAAUCCCGAGGCUCAACCUCGGGUCUGCAGUCGAUACGAGCAAACUAGAGUGUUGCAGGGGAGACUGGAAUUCCUGGUGUAGCGGUGAAAUGCGCAGAUAUCAGGAGGAAACACCCGGUGGGCGAAAGGCGGGGUCUCUGGGCAAGCAACUGACGCUGGAGGAGCGAAAAGCGUGGGGAGCGAACAGG
rnacentral:rRNA from 1 species